GACGAACGCUGGCGGCGCGCCUAACACAUGCAAGUCGAACGAAGAAGACAUUUCGGUGUUUUCUGAGUGGCGGACGGGUGAGUAACGCGUGAGGAACCUGGCCUUCAGAGGGGGAUAACGUCUGGAAACGGACGGUAAUACCGCAUAACGUAUCCGGGAGACAUCUUCUGGAUACCAAAGGAGAAAUCUGCUGAAGGAUGGACUCGCGUCCGAUUAGGUAGUUGGCGGGGCAAUGGCCCACCAAGCCCGCGAUCGGUAGCCGGAUUGAGAGAUUGGCCGGCCACAUUGGGACUGAGACACGGCCCAGACUCCUACGGGAGGCAGCAGUGGGGGAUAUUGCACAAUGGAGGGAACUCUGAUGCAGCGACGCCGCGUGAGGGAAGACGGCCUUCGGGUUGUAAACCUCUGUCUUUCGGGACGAAGAAAGUGACGGUACCGGAAGAGGAAGCCACGGCUAACUACGUG
rnacentral:rRNA from 1 species